rnacentral:rRNA from 1 species
UACAUGGGGUGCAAACGUUGCUCGGAAUUAUUGGGCGUAAAGCGCACGUAGGCGGUUCGUUAAGUCGGAUGUGAAAGCCCUCGGCUCAACUGAGGAAGUGCACCCGAAACUGGCGAGCUUGAGUACGAAAGAGGAUCGCGGAAUUCCCGGUGUAGAGGUGAAAUUCGUAGAUAUCGGGAGGAACACCGGUGGCGAAGGCGGCGAUCUGGGUCGAUACUGACGCUGCGGUGCGAAAGCGUGGGGAGCAAACAGG